rnacentral:rRNA from 1 species
CCUACGGGAGGCAGCAGUGGGGAAUAUUGCACAAUGGGCGCAAGCCUGAUGCAGCGACGCCGCGUGAGGGAUGACGGCCUUCGGGUUGUAAACCUCUUUCAGUAGGGAAGAAGCGUAAGUGACGGUACCUGCAGAAGAAGCGCCGGCUAACUACGUGCCAGCAGCCGCGGUAAUACGUAGGGCGCAAGCGUUAUCCGGAAUUAUUGGGCGUAAAGAGCUCGUAGGCGGUUUGUCGCGUCUGCUGUGAAAGACCGGGGCUCAACUCCGGUUCUGCAGUGGGUACGGGCAGACUAGAGUGCAGUAGGGGAGACUGGAAUUCCUGGUGUAGCGGUGAAAUGCGCAGAUAUCAGGAGGAACACCGAUGGCGAAGGCAGGUCUCUGGGCUGUAACUGACGCUGAGGAGCGAAAGCAUGGGGAGCGAACAGGAUUAGAUACCCUGGUAGUCCAUGCCGUAAACGUUGGGCACUAGGUGUGGGGGACAUUCCACGUUUUCCGCGCCGUAGCUAACGCAUUAAGUGCCCCGCCUGGGGAGUACGGCCGCAAGGCUAAAACUCAAGGAAUUGACGG